CGGGGGAGGCCGGAUCCUGGGCUGUGUCCUGGAGCCCUGUGCUCCCGGCCUGUGCUGUUAGAUUCACGCUUCCGCCCCUCAGCCCCCU
rnacentral:pre_miRNA from 1 species